rnacentral:rRNA from 1 species
UACAGAGAGUGCAAGCGUUAAUCGGAAUUACUGGGCGUAAAGCGCGCGUAGGCGGAUACUUUAGUCGGAUGUGAAAUCCCCGAGCUUAACUUGGGAAUUGCAUUCGAUACUGGGUGUCUGGAGUAUGGUAGAGGGAAGUGGAAUUUCUGGUGUAGCGGUGAAAUGCGUAGAUAUCAGAAAGAACACCAGUGGCGAAGGCGACUUCCUGGACCAAUACUGACGCUGAGGCGCGAAAGCGUGGGGAGCAAACAGG